AGGAAGUUGCUCAGGCAACCGUAACAUCUCUUCUUCCAAUCAAACUUCCCGUCAGUUCAUCACUCGUGAGUAACUAUGUACUAGUUGCCGAUAGCAACAAGAAUUUACAUGUUUUACAAAACGGAACUGUUGUCCGCUCCUUGGAGAUGUCGUCAAUUGUCAACACAAUGUGUGCGGGGUAUUUUCUUGAGGGCCUGGAUUCUAGUACCCCAGUAUCACCACACUCUACUGUAACAACCCAAACAGGUUUGCCACACCAAGUUGCGUUAGGAAUGGAAGAUGGUAGGAUUUUCAUUUUAAAUAAUUUUAAUUUAACAUUAUACACCAACAUUAAGUUGACUAUUACAAAGAUGGCCGCCUGUUCCCUGGGCAAAACUAUGGACACUUUAUUGUGUUGUGGAUACUUUAAUUCAAUGUUGAUCUACCAUAACGGCGUGCUGAUGCGUAAAGUUGCAACGAAUGACUGGGUGAAUUCUAUCGAAGUUAUGCCGAGUAAGGGUAAACAUGAACACUGUGUAUAUUUAGGGACAUUGGAUGGUAUUAUCCAAUCCUAUGGUCUUAGUAUGUUAUCAAAGUGAUAAGUUACACAGUUUUAAUAAAUGAGUCAAUGUAUAUUUCUACUGCCAAUUUUUAGAAAAGAUCCCCUUCAACUUGGGAAAAAUCCUAAAAGUUGAAGUUCAUGAUACAGUAUGUACUGAGAAAGAGUCUAAGCUGAAGCUGUACACCAAUUUACAGUAAUUUAACUACCUCCUCUGCAGGCGCUUAGGGAGCAUUUUGGGCAGUUUCAGAAAAUACCUUUGUCUUUCACUUACAUUUCUAAAUAUCACCGCCCGCAAAUUUUCCCGCAGAAAGAAAAUUUUGUAAAAUGUGAUUGGCCGGCACAAAUUUUCCGUUGGAAAAAAAUUUUGAAGUUGAAAAUUUUCAACUUUUAACAAUGACAUUUUUGGAAAAUUUUCUGUCCGUGGAAACUUUUCUUUGGUGGAAAUGGGCCUUUACAUAUGCGAACUUUCAGAACGUGACUCACUUGAUAUCGGUACAGUAUUUGUUAAUUGUGAUAUUUGGAACAUCAAUAACUUACAAUGAUUUACGAUGCAAAUUUAUUAUUGAAAUGAAAAGUUAAUGCUGAAAUGUUAAAAAAGCAAAUUAAAUGUAACAUGACAUGUGUCUGGGUAAUAAAAUGCAUUCAUUUAUGAUUUAAAUGUUAAACCCAAAAUAAAUUUCGUAUGAAGCGUGGUAUACAGACAAGAUUGUUAUCCGGUUAAAAAUCAUAAAAAACAAACUGUUUUAUCAUUAGAUUUGUCCAAACUGUAGGAGGAAAUCUAACCUUGAUCUUGAUGUGAAGAAGAAAGCUUGGGAUUGAUAGGGGGGGAUACAACUACCGGAAAAAUACAACAAGAGGUUGUCCUUUCUUCUUUUGAAGUUCUCCUUGUAUUUUUCAGGUAAAGUUGUAUCCAAUCCGAAGCUUUCUUAUUCUUGCCUUAUUGCCAUACCUACACUGUCAUAUCCCGUUCUAGAUAAUAAAAAAAGAAAACAGUUUGCUAAAAUCUUAAGCCCAUAUCAUUUUUUUAUUAGAGUGUUUCUUCAGACAUGUUAUUUGGACACUUAAAAUUUAGACUACACAACUUUUGCCUAGAAUUGUCGC